AGGAUAAACGCUGGCGGCGUGCCUAACACAUGCAAGUCGAACGCGCUUUCGGGCUUCGGUGCGAGAGCGAGUGGCGGACGGGUGAGUAACACAUGGGUACCUGCCUUUCAGUGAGGGAUACCGGCGAGAAAUCGCCGACAAUACCGCAUGGGCUUGUGGGAACACAAGCAAAGUGGCGCAAGCCACGCUGGAAGAUGGGCCUGUGGCCGAUUAGCUAGUUGGGGGGGUAACGGCCUCCCAAGGCGACGAUCGGUAGCUGGUCUGAGAGGACGAUCAGCCACACUGGGAUUGAGAACGGCCCAGACUCCUACGGGGGGCAGCAGUGAGGAAUUUUUCCGCAAUGGACGAAAGUCUGACGGAGCAACGCCGCGUGCAGGAGGAAGGUUUUCGGAUCGUAAACUGCUUUUCUCGGGGACAGCAAGGACGGUACCCGAGGAAGAAGCCCCGGCUAACUACGUGCCAGCAGCCGC
rnacentral:rRNA from 1 species